GUUACCGUGGCUAGGGGUCCGCGGUGACGUCCCGGAAGGGGCGGGACUCGCGAUGGGUCAGGUGACGCGCCGGGGGGGUCACAUGAUCGAAGCAGGGAGCAGCGUGCCCCGCCUCGGCCCCGCUCCGGAGCCGGGCUCCCCGUGAGGCGAGCUGCACAACUCCCGGCCAUGGUGACCCGGCACGGCCCCCACCCCGACGCUGCCCCAUUCCUGAGCCAGGCGGACGAGACGGAGGAGGAGGCGGCGGAGGGGGGGUCGCGGGCGGGUGGGGGGCAGCCGGAAGUGGGGGUGCAGGCCGUCACCGGGAUCUCAUACCCCCGCUCGGUGAUGAUCGUCGCCGUUCUCUGCUACAUCAACCUGCUCAACUACAUGGACCGCUUCACAGUGGCCGGCAUCCUGCCCGACAUUGAGUCGUUCUUUCGCAUUGGAGACAGCAGCUCCGGGCUCCUCCAGACAGUGUUCAUCAGCAGCUACAUGGUGCUGGCCCCGAUCUUCGGGUACCUGGGCGACCGCUACCACCGGAAGCGGCUGCUCUGCCUGGGCAUCGCCUUCUGGUCGGCCGUCACGCUGGGCUCCAGCUUCAUCCCCAAGGAGCGGUUCUGGCUGCUGCUGGUGACGCGGGGGCUGGUGGGGGUGGGGGAGGCCAGCUACUCCACCAUCGCCCCCACCAUCAUCGCCGACCUGUUCGUUAGCGACCAGCGCAGCCGCAUGCUGGCCUUCUUCUACUUCGCUAUCCCCGUCGGCAGCGGGCUGGGCUACAUCGUGGGCUCGAAGGUGAAGGACUUGGCUGAUGACUGGCACUGGGCCCUGCGGGUGACCGGCAUCCCCUUGAGGCCGAAAGGCAGGACCAGGAGCUCACAGAGCCCAGGGGGUGAUAGGAGCAGAUUUCGCCCUGGCCUCUGGAUCCAAAGGCACCUGCCAGUCGCCCUUGGUGACACCGGCGCUGGGUGUGGUGGCUGUGGUGCUGCUGGUCACGGUGCUGCGGGAGCCACCGCGGGGGGCCGUGGAGCGUCAUUCUGACUCCCCCCUGCGCUACACCUCCUGGGCCGCCGACGUCCGGGCACUGAGCCGCAACCGCAGCUUCGUGCUGUCGUCGCUGGGCUUCACGGCGGUGGCGUUCGUGACGGGGUCGCUGGCGCUGUGGGCCCCGGCGUUUCUGUACCGCUCCUGCCUGGCCACGGGGCAGUGCCGGCCCUGCCCCGACGGGGAC